GGGGAGGCGGUCGCGCUGGGGGCGGCGUGACACGGCUCGAGCCCGCCAGUGCCCCAACGGGGCCCUAGUUUCUUCUUUUUCCUCCCCUUUGAACUGGAAAAUGGCCCACUUCCCACUGGCAAAAACUCAUGAAAUUUGGCAGGACGACCGGGCCUCGUGAAAAAUUUGAUAUUCUGAAGUCGUCCAGGCAAUAAAAUGCAAAAUGGCUCCAUAGCGCCCCCUAAGGUGUAAAUUCACACUAUUGACUGUCACGCCUGUACGCUUUGUCAUAUUGACACCAAAAUUGACACACAUAUGUAUCUCAAUAAGAUCUACAAAAAAGUCAGUGCGGGCGUAUUUGUCAAAUGUAUGGUUAAAGGGUUAUUUCGCAUUUUUUGCUGAUCCGCAAACAUUGGAAUUUCGCUAACUCCUCUGAAGGCUUUCGUUCCACCGGCACCACAUUUGCUCAGGCCAAUCUACACCCCAUGGCCAUUAAAAGUUAUUCAAAUCAUGACGCUGCACCCCACGGUUUAGGUUCUAGGGGGCGCCAAAAAUAACCCUAAAAUCCACAUAUUUAAAAGUCUUAUAACUUUUUCUUUUUGUCCUCACUGGCCUCCAAGUUUUCUAGGAUGAUGCAAUGUCCAGCCAUCAACACAUUUGUGAAGGAAUUUUUACUUCCCAAAAGAGCGCCCCCCCAUGGCAGGAGAAAAAAGUCCAUUUUUUCUUGUCCACUAAGGUGAAAAUACACAUUGUUGAGUGUCACGCCUGUAUGCUUUGUCAAAAUGACACAAAAAUUGACACACACAUGUAUCUCAAUAAGAUCUACAAAAAAGUCAAUGAGCGCGUAUCUGUCAAAUGUACGAUUAAAGGGUUAUUCCGCAUUUUUUGCUGAUCCGCACACAUUGGAAUGUGGCUAACUCCUCCGAAGGCUUGAGUUCCACCGGCACAACAUUUGCUCAGGCCAAUCUACACCCCAUGGCCAUUAAAAGUUAUUCAAAUCAUGACGCUGCACCCCACGGUUUACGUUCUAGGGGGCGCCAAAGAUGACCCAAAUAUCCACAUUUUUUGAAGUCUUUUCACUUUUUAUUGUUGUCCCCACUGGCCUCCAAGUUUUCUAGGAUGAUGCAAUGUCCAGCCAUCAACACAUUUGUGAAGGAAUUUUUACUCCCCAAAAGAGCGCCCCCCAUGGCAGGAGAAAAAAGUCAAUUUUUUCUUGUCCACUAAGGUGAAAAUACACAUUGUUGAGUGCUACGCCUGUAUGCUUUGUUGUAUUGACACAAAAUUUGACAUACACGUGUAUUUCAAUAAGAUCUACGAAAAAGUUAAUGGGCACGUAUCUGUAAAAUGUACGGUUAAAGGGCAAUUUUGCAGUUUUUGGCGAUUUGCACACAUUGGAAUUUCGCUAACUCCUCUGAAG